CGGUAAUUCCAGCUCCAAUAGCGUAUACUAAAGUUGUUGCAGUUAAAAAGCUCGUAGUUGGAUUUCUGCGGGGACGGAGCGGCCGGUCGCAACUUGCGACUCGAGCUAGCGCUUUCCCCGCAUCCUGCCGCGAACCGUGCUACCAUUAGUUUGGUGGCGCUGGGGAUCGGCUCGAUUACUUUGAGAAAAAUAGAGUGUUCAAAGCAGGCCACACGCCUUGAAUAAGUUAGCAUGGAAUAAUGACUAAGGACUUUGGUUCUUUUCGUUGGUGUUCGGGACUGAAGUAAUGAUUGAUAGGGACAGUUGGGGCGGUCCGUAUUCCAAAGCGAGAGGUGAAAUUCUUAGACCUUCGGAAGACGAACAGCUGCGAAAGCGUUCCGCAAGGAUGUUCCCUUUGAUCAAGAACGAAAGUUGGGGGAUCGAAGACGAUCAGAUACCGUCGUAGUCUCAACUAUAAACUAUACCAGCUAGGGAUCGGCUAACGUUUAAUUAUUCGACUUGGUCGGCACCUUAUGAGAAAUCAAAGCAUCUGGGUUCCGGGGGGAGUAUGGUCGCAAGGCUGAAACUUAAAGGAAUUGACGGAAGGGCACCACCAGCCGUGGAGCCUGUGGCUUAAUUUGACUCAACACGGGAAAACUUACCAGGUCCGGACAUAGUAAGGAUUGACAGAUUGAUAGCUCUUUCUUGAUUCUGUGGGUGGUGGUGCAUGGCCGUUUUUAGUCGGUGGAUGUGAUCUGUCUGCUUAAUUGCGUUAACGGACGAGACCCCAGCCUGCUAAAUAGCGCGGCCGAGCUUUGCUCGGUGCGAGCUUCUUAGAGGGACCAUGAUGCGCGAUAGCACAAGGAAGUUUGGGGCAACAACAGGUCUGUGAUGCCCUUAGAUGUUCUGGGCCGCACACGGGCUACACUGGCGCCUGCAACGAGCAUAUCAGCUGGCCCGAGAGGGUCUUGGCUAAUCUUUGGAACCGGCGCCGUGCUUGGGAUUGACCAUUGCAAUUGUUGGUCAUGCAACGAGGAAUGCCUUGUAAACGCGAGUCAUCAGCUCGCAUUGAAUACGUCCCUGCCCUUUGUACACACCGCCCGUCGCUCCUACCGAUGAAUGUUCCGAUGAAAUUUUCGGAGAGCACCAGAGAACGGGGCUCCGCCUUGCAGAUCUGGAGGCUCAAAGUCACUUAAAUCUGAACAUUUCGAGGAAGGAGAAGUCGUAACAAGGUAACC
rnacentral:rRNA from 1 species